rnacentral:miRNA from 1 species
GAUGGAGCCUUGCUGGAGGAAGUGUGUCACUGGGGAUGGGCCUUGAGGUUUAAUAGUUCAGCUCUACUUUCUGGACUUACUCUCACUGCUUCCCUCCUGCU